rnacentral:rRNA from 1 species
UACGUAGGGUGCAAGCGUUGUCCGGAAUUAUUGGGCGUAAAGAGCUUGUAGGCGGUUUGUCGCGUCUGCUGUGAAAAUCCGGGGCUCAACCCCGGACUUGCAGUGGGUACGGGCAGACUAGAGUGUGGUAGGGGAGACUGGAAUUCCUGGUGUAGCGGUGAAAUGCGCAGAUAUCAGGAGGAACACCGAUGGCGAAGGCAGGUCUCGUGGGCCACUACUGACGCUGAGAAGCGAAAGCAUGGGGAGCGAACAGG